rnacentral:rRNA from 1 species
GAUGAACGCUGGCGGCGUGCCUAAUACAUGCAAGUCGAACGCUGAAGGAGGAGCUUGCUCUUCUGGAUGAGUUGCGAACGGGUGAGUAACGCGUAGGUAACCUGCCUGGUAGCGGGGGAUAACUAUUGGAAACGAUAGCUAAUACCGCAUGACAACAGUUAUUGCAUGAUAACUGUUUAAAAGGGGCAACUGCUCCACUACCAGAUGGACCUGCGUUGUAUUAGCUAGUUGGUGAGGUAACGGCUCACCAAGGCGACGAUACAUAGCCGACCUGAGAGGGUGAUCGGCCACACUGGGACUGAGACACGGCCCAGACUCCUACGGGAGGCAGCAGUGGGGAAUCUUCGGCAAUGGACGGAAGUCUGACCGAGCAACGCCGCGUGAGUGAAGAAGGUUUUCGGAUCGUAAAGCUCGGUUGUAAGAGAAGAACGAGUGUGAGAGUGGAAAGUUCACACUGUGACGGUAUCUUACCAGAAAGGGACGGCUAACUACGUG